rnacentral:rRNA from 1 species
GGUUGCGAUCAUACCAGCACUAAUGCAUCUGAUCCCAUCAGAACUCCGCAGUUAAGCGUGCUUAGGCGAGAGUAGUACUAGGAUGGGUGACCCCCUGGGAAGUCCUCGUGUUGCAACCCC